rnacentral:lncRNA from 1 species
AGUUACAUCGGACUGUGACACUUACUGUUUACAGGAGACUAUAAAACUUUGCCCAGUCGUCACUUGGGGCCCGCCUGCACCCAGGCCGUCAUUAAAACAGCAUGUUGCUCCACACCGCCUCGUGUUGUCUGUUGGUGUGCUCUCAGGGUGGAAACGAUACAAGAACGUUACACUUACAGGCUUUAGUUUAUAUUAUUCUCAUAGAAGACUUCCUCAUAAUCCAAUUUAAAAAAUGAGAGUUUCCCUGCACAAGCUCUUGCUUUGCCUGAUGCCAUCCAUGUAAGACGUGACUUGCUCCUCCUUGCCUUCUACCAUGAUUGUGAGACUUCCCCAGCCACGUGGAACUAUUAUGCUCCAAGACACUGAAUCUGAAAGGAUGCAUCCAGUCUUGCCAAGUGGUUUCACUACCAAGGCCAGUCUCCAUCUAUGAUAGACCCAAGGAAGAUCAUUUACAACUAGAAUCUAGUCAUUUAGGAGAUUGUGUGCUCCCUGGAUGGGCCAUCUGCACUGGUGUGAGGUUUAUCUCAUUGAAGGGAAAACCAAAGGAAUCUUCUUGAAUAUCAGCACCAGGAAGAGCAGUACAAACUGGAGAAGCUGGGUGUCAGCCCAGAACGGGAACUAAAUAAGCACUCGUAGCUUGAAUGAAUAAACAAGCAGCUCCCACUUGGAUAGUAUUUCCACACAUCAGGACUUGAGAGGUAAGUGGGUAGAGCUCGGUGCCUAUUACUUAUCUUCUGGAAUUAACAUGGAUUGUGCUGAGAACUCAAGCAAAAAUAAAAUAACUUUUAGACU